UAUUCGUGCAGGAACUGAUAAAAAAUAUUGGGAAAAGAGCUCUAAGGAGUGCACCAAGGAACUGUACUCGAAGCUUUUGAGGGACGAGCCUGAUCUGUUAACAGAUGAAGUUUUGGAACAAUCGCAAUCAUUUGUGAGACACAUGUUGGAUGAGCAAGGCGAAUUGAACUCUAUCGUUACCCAAUUACCAGUACUGAGGCGACGUAAGCUACUGAACUUCCAUUUCCAGAGAGCGACAGGUGUAGACGUUAGUUGCCUACGAAACUAUGUUGCUUCCAAACGGGAAAAAAUAAUCGAUUACUCUUUAACUCUCCGUAAACGCAUACAAAUCAAGGACGAUAUUGAGCUGUUUGAAUUUCUUUGUUCGCUUGUUGGGGAGCAGAUUGAGCAGCUUGUGAUUAAAAAGGAGAUUGGAACUCGUAUCAAAGAUGUCGUUUUGGAUGGUCCUGGGCCGGUAUUAGUUGCAAUAGAUAUUGACGGUGGCAAAAGUAUGUAUUACGUGUUUGCAGAACGGACGAGGCUAUCCAAAGGUA